GUGGAUUAGAUACCCUAGUAGUCCAUGCUGUAAACGAUGAAGACUGGCUGUUGGUUGCCUAUUGGCAGUUAGUAGCGAAGCAAACGCGUUAAGUCUUCCGCCUGGGGAGUACGGCCGCAAGGUUAAAACUCAAAGGAAUUGACGGGGGCCCGCACAAGCGGUGGAACAUGUGGUUUAAUUCGACGCAACGCGAAGAACCUUACCUACCCUUGACAUGCUCGGAAUUUGCCAGAGAUGGUGAAGUGCCUUCGGGAGCCGAGACACAGGUGCUGCAUGGCCGUCGUCAACU
rnacentral:rRNA from 1 species